UACAGAGGGUGCGAGCGUUAAUCGGAAUUACUGGGCGUAAGCGUGCGUAGACGGCUAUCUAAGUCGGGUGUGAAAGCCCCGGGCUCAACCUGGGAAUUGCAUUCGAGACUGAAUAGCUAGGGUGCGGUAGAGGGAAGCGGAAUUUCCGGUGUAGCGGUGAAAUGCGUAGAUAUCGGAAGGAACACCUGUGGCGAAAGCGGACUCACUGGACCACAACUGAC
rnacentral:rRNA from 1 species